rnacentral:rRNA from 1 species
GCGUGCCUAAUACAUGCAAGUCGAGCGAACAGACGAGGAGCUUGCUCCUCUGACGUUAGCGGCGGACGGGUGAGUAACACGUGGAUAACCUACCUAUAAGACUGGGAUAACUUCGGGAAACCGGAGCUAAUACCGGAUAAUAUAUUGAACCGCAUGGUUCAAUAGUGAAAGACGGUUUUGCUGUCACUUAUAGAUGGAUCCGCGCCGCAUUAGCUAGUUGGUAAGGUAACGGCUUACCAAGGCAACGAUGCGUAGCCGACCUGAGAGGGUGAUCGGCCACGCUGGAACUGAGACACGGUCCAGACUCCUACAGGAGGCAGCAGUAGGGAAUCUUCCGCAAUGGGCGAAAGCUUGACGGAGCAACGCCGCGUGAGUGAUGAACGUCUUCGGAUCGUAGAACUCUGUUAUUAGGGAAGAACAGAUGUGUAAGUUACUAUGCACGUCUUGACGGUACCUAAUCAGAAAGCCACGGCUAACUACGUGCCAGCAGCCGCGGUAAUACGUAGGUGGCAAGCGUUAUCCGGAAUUAUUGGGCGUAAAGCGCGCGUAGGCGGUUUUUUAAGUCUGAUGUGAAAGCCCACGGCUCAACCGUGGAGGGUCAUUGGAAACUGGAAAACUUGAGUGCAGAAGGGGAAAGUGGAAUUCCGUGUGUAGCGGUGAAAUGCGCAGAGAUAUGGAGGAACACCAGUGGCGAAGGCGAC